CCUUGCGGUUUUCUGAGCAGGUGGUUUGUUCCACCUUUUUCUACACAUGAUCUCCACGUCUACGGUUACAGACGGUUUUCACACUUCCUUCCGAAUCCCACUCCCACGUUCUGCCUCUACACUUCUUUAUAUAUCACUUUGCAAUCCCGAUUGGAACUCCUCUCACUCUAAUCAUAGAUAACCCUAACCAUCACCACUGACAAUCAUCGCACAACCACCACCGCAACGAGGGGAACGGGCCGGCAACCAUCACACCACCACUCCGAUGACGGCCGCACUAGCGGCGAACUAUCAGCACUCGAUUGUCACAUCACUCCUCUCUGCGAUCGUUUUCAAUCGGAAGGUUUAAUGACGGAUUGUUAUCGAAUGUAAUCGUGAUGGCUAAUACUGUUUGUUGAAAUUAAGGAAGCACUUGAGUUGCUAGAGGAACUGGAUGAAGCAUUGGGACUGCAAAAACUUGUGGAAGCAUUGCAAGUUAGGAUCACUAGGUUUACAUUUGAAGGAAAAUCACAAGAGUUCUAUGGAGGCUGCAAGAAGUUCUAAGUAUUAAGGCGAGGCAAUUAGCGGCUUCUAGGUUUGUUGAGUUCUUUUCUGGAUUAUCAGGUGCUGCAAUUGAUUGCAUCUGAACCAUCCUUAUUGGAAUUUACAGUCUCUGGUGUCUCCUUUUUCAAUUGGAUUUUAAAGUAAUUGACAGUGAUGCUUCCGAUUUAAAUCAUAAUUGUGCAGUUCUGAUAAGGUAAUGGAAAUAUGAUAAAAUUGUUACCUGUUGGUUAUAUGAGUCAACGUCAUAGUCAAAGCUCCUACUCCUCUCAUGAUUUCCCUAACUCAAAAGGAGAAGGUGUCAUGGGUUUCCAAUGAAGGUGGUUAGCUUGGUAUUUCACAUUUUCACUCAUUCCAUGAAGAGCUUUGUUAACCCAGUCAAUUUGUUGUUGCUUGCAGUUAAAAGGGAUGUAUCGAAUGGUAAAGACAACUGAUCGGGCACCGGCUUCUUCAGUUAACUAGGGCAGUUUAUCUUUACGAAAACUCUUCAUCCGGGGAUAAUUCUGAUGAUAUGCUAUCUGACAUUCGUAACCCAAGAACCAAAGAACGAUCAGCUGAAAAAUAGAGGAAGGUCUAGAGUUUACCAGGAGAAAUAUUAUCAGUAUAGUCUAUGGAGCAAUUCUUCAAGGUGAAAACUUUGUUUUAUUUGUUUAUACUUUUGUUUUCAUUUUAAGAUACUUGACGAAACAUUUUUUUAUAAAAUAAAUGGUACAUAGUAAACUCCACAAGCUAAACCUCUUCCCCUCACCCACAAAAAAAAAAAAAAAAAAAAAAAAAAAAACUUUUUAUGUGGCCAUAAAAGAAAAGAUUUGAUUAUUAAAAUUCAACUUUAGCCGAAACAAUUAAAAAAAGGCCGUUAUAACCAAUCAUUUAAACAAAUGUGGCGACAAGCAGCGAGAUAAGAAUCAUUGUGUUAAUUGGCCGUUGAAUUUAUUUACUUUUUUGAGUAAUCAUUGUUUGGAUUCAUAACAUAUUAUUGAUCAUCUAUAGAAAAUAAUGUUUUGCUAUCUCUUUUCCAUGAAACGAAGGGUUUGCCAACAUUCCCCAUGGUUUGACUACUUAUGACAGUUUCAUACGGACCCAUAGCAAAUCUUCUUCCUUUUUUAGUUUUUAGCGUAGUUUUUUUUUAAUAUAAACAUCCUUAACAAAUGUUUGUUACAUCCUUACCAAACUUGAGGGUUGGGCAUCAGGCAUCAAGCCAAUGGGUUGAAAAGACCCCCCCCCCCCCCCCCCGGGUCAAAGAGGACGAUCCAAAAGUCAAAAAAACGAGACGGUAAACCAUGUUUGAAUGCUAUUACACUUUCCGCUCAUGUUCUUGUAUGUUACCAUGCAUAUGUUUUGCCUUCUAUUUACUUUUGCAUUAAAAUGACACCAUUUCAUGUUUUA